CCUCAAGUUGAAUUUCUUGUUGGCUAUUUUCCUUUUCUACCUGAUCGACCAAUCAGCGCACUUAUUCCGCGAACCAAUCAGUCGUCUUCCUUGAAAUUCCGCAAGCCAAUAAGCGCGCAUCGUUAGUUAGACAGCGCCAUCUCUAUCGCACCGUGCGCAUGCUCGUGAUCAAUCUCUCCAAGAUAGUCGUUUAUUGCUCGCGUAAUCGUAUUCGUUGUUACAUCACAUCAGGUGUAUCGUCAACGUCGCCGUUUCUACACAUCUCUACGUUAUCAGUCAUCACCUUGAGAAAAUCACGGAAAUAUUACCAUGUGUCGUCAUAUCUGCACGAGGCUACAUAACCUAUCGUUUGGUUUAUCGUGCUCAAUAUUCACCGACAGCGGAAAAACUCUUGCGAUGUGCGAUGUGUACAAUCCACACGUUGUCUCCACGCCACAUGGCUGAGUCAGGUACUUGUUCAAUUAUUUAAUCUUCUACGCAUAUCUACUCAAAAGCUCUUGCUCAUUUUCUUGAACUUGUUUCGCUUUCAUAAGCUUCCAGCAGACCUCCUUGAAAUGGUUCCGAAGCUCUCCACGCUUCAUAACCUUCAAUAUUAUAUUUUUAAAUAUCAGCGCCUCUCCCACAUGUAUACCCACAGGUAUCACCUGAUAAGUAUAUUGUAUAUAUAAGUAAGUAUAUACCUGAUAAGUAUAUUGGGUUGUUGGAGGCAAGUAGAGUUCCGUAUUAUGAAUUUAUUGUAUAUAGCUGAGGUUGGUGGCGUGCUUUUAGCUUCUUAUUGGAGAUAGGUUGAUGUUAUUUCUCUAAAAAUACUCCUGAAAGAACGUUUGAAACUGUUCAUUAGUUAGAAGAAGCAGAUGAGUGGAUGAAUUUAAUUUAUUAAUGUUAAAAUGCAUAUAUUUAAUAAGUUUACUGUGUCGUGGGAGACGUGGGUGAAUUUUGGAAUAUAAAUUUAUCUCGAAUGGAUGAUUUUGGAGGGUUGCUUUCUUGCUUUUAUCCGUGAUAGAUGAUGAAAACAGUGUUAUUUUCUGAAAAGAAUUUUACGGAAUUGAUCAUGAGUUAGAAGAAGAAUAUGGAGAGUUUUAAGUAAUAUGAAUAAAUUAUGAUGUGUAGAUCUAUAAUAUGUCGUUGGAGAUACUUAUUAAAAUAAAUUUUAAUUUUAUAAAUAUAGACUUACUUCGGAUGGAGGUUAUGGUAUGUUGCUUUAAUUUAAUAGAUAUAAGAAGGCUCAUAGUGUAUAGCAUGCCAUGAAGAUGUAUACGUAUAUAGGUUAGGUUAUUAAAUAGAACUUAUUGGUAAUGAUAUUGGUUGAAAUGCCUAGGUAUAGAUUGCUUGGAGCAGUAGUAGGCUAGGCAACAAUGAGAAGUUGCAUAAUGAUAUGAAAAUAACAUGAUAAUGGACAAUAGUUAUAAGAGUGUGGGGUAAUAUGAGAGGGGUAUCGCCUUUAAGGCUCAUAGUGUAUAGCAUGCCAUGAAGAUGUAUACGUAUAUAGGUUAGGUUAUUAAAUAGAACUUAUUGGUAAUGAUAUUGGUUGAAAUGCCUAGGUAUAGAUUGCUUAGAGCAGUAGUAGGCUAGGCAACAAUGAGAAGUUGCAUAAUGAUAUGAAAAUAACAUGAUAAUGGACAAUAGUUAUAAGAGUGUGGGGUAAUAUGAGAGGGGUAUCGCCUUUAAGUCGAACUGUACGUUAGUGCAUGAGCAAAUAAUGUUUUAGGACGAAUGGGGAAAUAGAAAUCAAUAUAAACUAAAUAAAAGAUGUGGGUGGGUACUUGUGAGGUUAAAAAUAUAAGUGUUCCACAUGUGUAGUGUCGACACAGUGACAGCGUGUGACUUACCGAGGCGAAUGGUGGAAUUCACACGGUGAUGGUUGAAGAGCUGCUAUGCGAUGGACAACUUAAGGAUCACAGAAAUCGACGAAAUGCGAAUACGUGUGAAUUUUAUGUUACGAUGUGUACUUGGAUUUUAUGUACGCGAGUUUGGUUCCCGGCAGCCGCCAUUUUGUCAGCGGUGUGUCGAUGAGCCAUGAACUAUGAACAUACGAGAAUGGUGAGUCUUCUCCUAUGCGAUUUUUAAUCCUUUAUCGGCACAUCACCGCACAAUCACACUCAACGCCGUACUUAAUUUAUUAUCCGCCUCUUCCUGCUUGCCUACGUCGAGAAUCACCGCCAAGUUGUGGACAAAAUUCGGCAUUCAUUUUCGGAAUCGCCUUCAACUCCUAAUCUUUCUGUCCUCGAAGUAAUUCUCGCGGAGAGUCACCAAUUUCCUGGGCAUCCCUCUAGAUUCUGCUUCUUUCAAGAUCUUAUUCCAGCUGAGAGUGUUGAACGCGUUCUUCACGUUAACUGCCGCCAACACAAAAAUCUUAUUUCUUUUCGUGGACCAGUCAGCAAGAUCUAUUACUCGGCGCAGGGCGUCCACCGUACUCGCUUUUCUCCUGAACCCAUACUGGUCAUCGUGAAAUGGAUCCAAUCCCAAGCUUUCUUCGAUCAGGUUCUUAAACGUGUGUCCCCAGACUUUACUAAGUACUGGAAGUAUGCUGAUCGGUCGGAAAGACAAUGUCAAUGUCACAUAAACUUAAGGCUUAGAUGAUAAAAACAAGAAGAUUGAUCCGUAACAUAAUUUUUAAUUUUCUUUUUAUUAAACUUUAUUA